GGAAUAAUACUUUAAAAAAAAGUUUUAAUUUGCAGUUAAAAAAUAGGGUGAAUCCUUUAUUCCA
rnacentral:tRNA from 1 species